GAUGAACGCUGGCGGCGUGCCUAAUACAUGCAAGUCGAGCGAACAGACGAGGAGCUUGCUCCUCUGACGUUAGCGGCGGACGGGCGAGUAACACGUGGAUAACCUACCUAUAAGACUGGGAUAACUUCGGGAAACCGGAGCUAAUACCGGAUAAUAUAUUGAACCGCAUGGUUCAAUAGUGAAAGACGGUUUUGCUGUCACUUAUAGAUGGAUCCGCGCCGCAUUAGCUAGUUGGUAAGGUAACGGCUUACCAAGGCAACGAUGCGUAGCCGACCUGAGAGGGUGAUCGGCCACACUGGAACUGAGACACGGUCCAGACUCCUACGGGAGGCAGCAGUAGGGAAUCUUCCGCAAAGGGCGAAAGCCUGACGGAGCAACGCCGCGUGAGUGAUGAAGGUCUUCGGAUCGUAAAACUCUGUUAUUAGGGAAGAACAAAUGUGUAAGUAACUAUGCACGUCUUGACGGUACCUAAUCAGAAAGCCACGGCUAACUACGUG
rnacentral:rRNA from 1 species